CUACGGGUGGCUGCAGUGAGGAAUAUUGCACAAUGGGGGGAACCCUGAUGCAGCGACGCCGCGUGGAGGAUGACGCAUUUCGGUGUGUAAACUCCUUUUAUAUGUCAAGAAAAUGACGGUAGCAUAUGAAUAAGCACCGGCUAACUCCGUGCCAGCAGCCGCGGUAAUACGGAGGGUGCAAGCGUUACUCGGAAUCACUGGGCGUAAAGGACGCGUAGGCGGGCUUGUAAGUCAGGUGUGAAAUCCUACAGCUUAACUGUAGAACUGCACUUGAAACUACGAGCCUAGAGUAUGGGAGGGGCAGAUGGAAUUAGUGGUGUAGGGGUAAAAUCCGUAGAUAUCACUAGGAAUACCUAAAGCGAAGGCGAUCUGCUGGAACAUAACUGACGCUAAGGCGUGAAAGCGUGGGGAGCAAACAGGAUUAGAUACCCUAGUAGUC
rnacentral:rRNA from 1 species